GACGAACGCUGGCGGCGUGCCUAAUACAUGCAAGUUGAGCGCUGAAGGUUGGUCCUUGUACCAACUGGAUGAGCAGCGAACGGGUGAGUAACGCGUGGGGAAUCUGCCUUUGAGCGGGGGACAACAUUUGGAAACGAAUGCUAAUACCGCAUAAAAACUUUAAACACAAGUUUUAAGUUUGAAAGAUGCAAUUGCAUCACUCAAAGAUGAUCCCGCGUUGUAUUAGCUAGUUGGUGAGGUAAAGGCUCACCAAGGCGAUGAUACAUAGCCGACCUGAGAGGGUGAUCGGCCACAUUGGGACUGAGACACGGCCCAAACUCCUACGGGAGGCAGCAGUAGGGAAUCUUCGGCAAUGGACGAAAGUCUGACCGAGCUACGCCGCGUGAGUGAAGAAGGGUGUCGGAUCGUAAAACUCUGUUGGUAGAGAAGAACGUUGGUGAGAGUGGAAAGCUCAUCAAGUGACGGUAACUACCCAGAAAGGGACGGCUAACUACGUG
rnacentral:rRNA from 1 species